CUGCAAGUCGAGCGGACAGAAGGGAGCUUGCUCCCGGAUGUUAGCGGCGGACGGGUGAGUAACACGUGGGUAACCUGCCUGUAAGACUGGGAUAACUCCGGGAAACCGGAGCUAAUACCGGAUAGUUCCUUGAACCGCAUGGUUCAAGGAUGAAAGACGGUUUCGGCUGUCACUUACAGAUGGACCCGCGGCGCAUUAGCUAGUUGGUGGGGUAAUGGCUCACCAAGGCGACGAUGCGUAGCCGACCUGAGAGGGUGAUCGGCCACACUGGGACUGAGACACGGCCCAGACUCCUACGGGAGGCAGCAGUAGGGAAUCUUCCGCAAUGGACGAAAGUCUGACGGAGCAACGCCGCGUGAGUGAUGAAGGUUUUCGGAUCGUAAAGCUCUGUUGUUAGGGAAGAACAAGUGCGAGAGUAACUGCUCGCACCUUGACGGAACCUAACCAGAAAGCCACGGCUAACUACGUGUCAGCAGNCGCGGUAACACGUAGGUGGCAAGCUUUGUCCGGAAUUAUUGGGCUUUUAGGGCUCCUCCUCUGUU
rnacentral:rRNA from 1 species